UCUGGCAGUGAUGCCACUCUUGCCCUCACUGAGAACUCUGUUCUGUAAUGAGCCUCUCGCUCCUGUGCUCGGAGCAGCUGAGCCAGA
ensembl:snoRNA